AUGUUCCGGAGCUGCCGGUCCUCCCGAAGGGCUGUCCGCGACACCAUCUGGGAGGCUGUUCGACCGCCUCCCGGAGGGCUGUCCGAGGAGCAGAUGAGGGUCGGAAAAAUUUUAUUUUCUGCUGCGUUACCCUACACUGUGAUCGCCGACACUUGGGAAGACAAGCAAGAACUUCAAGCCUGCUUUCCAGAAGCUGAGGCUUGGGGGCAAGCCUCAUCACAAGAAGGAGGGGGUGUCAAGGCCACUGGCAGGAGGGCUCCAUCAACUGACAGCCUCACGGACCCGUAUGCGCUACGGCCCAACCGCCAGCGACGGCCCAACCCAAAGAAGCGAAGACUCAUCCAGUGGAUCACGAACCCGGCGGCGGCGGCACCCUGUUCUCCCCCCAAUUCAUGUAUACCACGCGUCCCACACGAGGCUGUUGCACAUGUCCCUGGAGGCCCACGUGCGACGGAAGGAACCAGAGAGAACGCGAUGUGUCGCCGCUGUCCUCCACCUUAUCUCCUCGUCUCUCGAGUCGACCACACAAAUUUGUUUCCCAUAGUCGCCGCCGGCGAUUUUUCUGUCGCGCUCACGCCAACAUCCUCUCCCGUCAUGCCGUCGAAAAUUUUAUUGCGCCGUGCUCGGCCCGAGCCUCCUCUCCCGUCGUGGCGUCGACCCAUAGCCAUGGCCGCCUCCCCCGUCCUCCUCCUCACCGUAGUGUGUCGUGUGGGGGCUGAGGGGAGCUGCGUUCGCCAUGGUGGGGAGCUGGAACCGGCGACGGGCAGGUAG
rnacentral:rRNA from 1 species